UACAAUAAAUGUGGCAGUGGUCGACAGAAGCUCACUGUAAUUCCACCAGAAGCAGAGGGUUAUUCUGUAAAAACUCUGAGAGCUCAGUCAGGAGGGGGUAAAGCCACUAUUUACAUAGUGCCACUACAGGAGACAUUAGACGCCUCUCCUCUGCCUGCUGACUCGCAGCACUUUUCAAAGAUGCCCAAGAAGACAUGUUACCAGUGUCAUGAAGUGAUGCCUCUGCAGAUGCUUGCAAUAAAGGAAAAUCACUUUCUGAUGAGAGUGAUGAAGAGGUGAGAAAAAUAGUUUGUGUUUCAUUGUGAUGGAAAUGACAAAACAUAGUGUUUAUUAAAGUGGCUGUUUUGUAAAUCUGCAGUACUCUGAGCUAUGCAUACUUUCACUUUCUACAUUUUUCGCUUAACACUGAACACUUUCAGGUUGAACAUGUGGCUGAUGCACAGUCUCUGAUGUUGUUGGCUGAUGAAGUUAUAAACUGUGGAUACACAAGCCAGAUCAAGCUGGAUAAUAAACAAAACAUCAUUCGACUGAUUCCAAUGCUUCAGCAAGUGAGAAAGGCCAUGGAACUGUAUGGUCUGCUCAGUCAGAUGGCUGCAAACCCUGAAGCUUUACACACUCUUUGUUCCUGGAAGAUCAUCAAACCAGAUGCUGAUUUCAUAAUGAUGAACUGCCGACCACAGCUCAGUGAAAAGGGGACAUCUCAGGAGACAACUGAAAGAUUAUAAACUUCAUGCAAGAUUUUUGCCAGGAGCUUGAAAU